rnacentral:rRNA from 1 species
UACAGAGGUGGCAAGCGUUGUUCGGAAUUACUGGGCGUAAAGGGCGCGUAGGCGGCCGCCUAAGUCAGACGUGAAAUCCCCAGGCUUAACUUGGGAACUGCGUCUGAUACUGGGUGGCUUGAGUCCGGGAGAGGGAUGCGGAAUUCCAGGUGUAGCGGUGAAAUGCGUAGAUAUCUGGAGGAACACCGGUGGCGAAGGCGGCAUCCUGGACCGGCAUUGACGCUGAGGCGCGAAAGCCAGGGGAGCAAACGGG